rnacentral:rRNA from 1 species
GUAGGUGGCAAGCGUUGUCCGGAAUUAUUGGGCGUAAAGCGAGCGCAGGUGGUUCUUUAAGUCUGAUGUGAAAGCCCCCGGCUCAACCGGGGAGGGUCAUUGGAAACUGGGGAACUUGAGUGCAGGAGAGGAAAGUGGAAUUCCACGUGUAGCGGUGAAAUGCGUAGAUAUGUGGAGGAACACCAGUGGCGAAGGCGACUUUCUGGCCUGUAACUGACACUGAGGCGCGAAAGCGUGGGGAGCAAACAGGGAUUAGAUACCCUGGUAGUCCACGCCGUAAACGAUGAGUGCUAAGUGUUGGGGGGGUUUCCCGCCCCUCAGUGCUGCAGCUAACGCAUUAAGCACUCCGCCUGGGGAUACGGUCGCAAGACUG